GUGGGGAAUCUUAGACAAUGGAUGCAAGUCUGACCCAGCCAUCCCGCGUGCCGGAAGAAGGCCCUCAGGGUUGUAAACGGCUUUUGACGGUGAAGAAUCGACAGGAUGCGUCCUGUUUUGACGGUAGCCGUUGAAUAAGCACCGGCUAACUCCGUGCCAGCAGCCGCGGUAAUACGGAGGGUGCGAGCGUUGUCCGGAUUUUUUGGGUUUAAAGGGUGCGUAGGCUGGUAGGUCAGUCAGCGGUGAAAAGCUGUCGCUUAACGAUAGUCUUGCCGCAGAUACUUCCUUUCUUGGAUGGGGAGGAGGCCACUGGAACGGAUGGUGUAGCGGUGAAAUGCAUAGAUAUCAUCCAGAACACCGAUUGCGAAGGCAGGUGGCUGUACCUUAAUCGACGCUGAUGCACGAAAGCAUGGGGAGCAAACAGGAUUAGAUACCCUGGUAGUCC
rnacentral:rRNA from 1 species